rfam:Lupinus angustifolius cultivar Tanjil chromosome LG16, whole genome shotgun sequence.
CAGUUAGGGGGAUGAUGUAUUAUUACAGGGCUCUUCAGAUGCUUGCCUUUCUUGAUUCAGCAUCAGAAAUGGAUGUAAG